rnacentral:lncRNA from 1 species
AUGGGCUUUGCUCAAAGUUCAGAGGGAGGGUCGCUCAGUAGCUUGCCUUGCCAGCACGCGUGUUGGGUUUGUGCAGGAGGAGGGGCAGUGAUUCCUCAGCCUCUCUCCCCUUCUGCCAUAAGGGCUGAUGGCCACCCUGGGUCACGGGUGGCUUCAGGGGGCUGUGACCCUUUGGUGUGCGUGGUGGCACCGCUCAGAGCUGAUGCACCCCAAGCUUUGCUUCUGGGACAUGGUGGUGUCUUGUGGCCCGGCACUGGGUACAAAAGGGCUUCAAGAGCUGCCUCGUUGCAUGGAGUAGGAGAGAUCGGGGUGCCCUAUGGGGAUGGUUUGGGCUGGGUGCCAGGAAGGGAAGAGUACAGGCAGUCUGCUUUGCUUUUCCUUUCCUUGCUGGUUUGCCGUGCUGCUUUCCCAUCCUCCCUUCCUACUGCCACGGUGCCACGUCCCUGUGCCUCCCGCACACCCCUCCAACUUGGGGACGUCCCCCAAACGUGGGGUGCAGGAGGUGCCCCUGGAUCAGCAUUGUGCCCCAGCAGCCCAGCUCUGAACGACAGAGCUCUGCUCUGUGCUCCGGAGGUGCCCGUACAUCAUCUGCCGAAAUCAAGGCAGCCUUUGAGGACCACGUCACGCUAUCAACAGGAUGUUAAUCCCAGGCUUCAGGUUACAGAGAGAAGGGACAUUUGCCCUUAUCUUUUCAUUCCCCUUUUGACUCUCAUUACCGCAGGUGAAAGCUUAUCCAGCCGCUUCCCCCACUACCAAACCCUGACGCUGCAUUCAAGGGAAUUCAAAUCCUCAUUGUGCAUGGCAGGGCCCUUUCUAACACUGAGGCCAUUGGCUCUCAGACCACUUAUGGAAGCUGCUGGGUGGCUCUGGAUCCCUGGUGGGGCUAUGCUCCUCUUCAGCUCCAUGCUGCAGGCUCCUGAGCUGCACAGGGGCAGGAUUUGUCCUUGUGCCACCCGGCUGGGGCUGCAGAAUGGGACAUUUGGGCUCUUUGCUUUCUGCCCACGAGCACUUCUGGCGUUGUAUUUUUUGCUCCAUUCACACUCCAGCUCUGGAUGCACGAAGCAGUGGUGCUUCUCUUUCCCUCCUCGUUCCUCGGCCAUACUCCCUUGA